CGUCUUACCUGGUAGUCUUAGGUGUCGCGUUUGUUAUGCCUAAUACUGUCAGGUAAAGAUGUC
rnacentral:pre_miRNA from 1 species